GUUGAGUCUGUUGGGUUGUUUUGCUGGGUUAUUUUUUUACAUUUUAAACACUUUUUGGGUAGUUUCAGUUUUCUAGGUGUUGGGUUAAAACUGCUGGGUUAUUAUGUUGGGUUGUUUGAAGAGGCUCACGUGCUUCGCGCCCUUGAUGUUUGAAUGUGCUCAGCAAUGGUCGUCGUGAAAGGACAGAGUCACUGAAGCAGUUGUUUCAAGAGUGUGCAGAGUUUUAACGUCCAUCCAUUGAUGAGGCUAGCAAGACCUUCAUACAACUUCAGCCAAUUGCAACAAAUGUGGUGGAAUUUCUUCACUGGACAGAAUCCUCGAAACCCUUUCCUUUCAUCCUGACCAUGGGAAACAUGCAGCAGAUCUCUCAAUCUUUUUUCUCAAUCAGUCUCUCUGAAUACGGAAGUGACUUAAACUGCAAUUCGGCCAAGAUGGCGACGGCACGCACCGCCUACUUUAAGCUUCAAAAAUGCUCUUCACAAACCAAUAGGUGACGUCACGGACACUACUUGCAUAUUUUUUACAGUCUCUGGUUUAAAGGCAUUUUAAGUGCUUAAAUACCCCAGGCAAUGUGCUUCUAUGGGAAUUCCUGUAGUCUGUCAUUUUUCAAAUGGAUGAAUCCCCUGCUGUUCGAAUCCUUUGUACAUCUUUGUUCGCGGCGA